rnacentral:rRNA from 1 species
UACAGAGGUCCCAAGCGUUGUUCGGAUUCACUGGGCGUAAAGGGUGCGUAGGUGGUCGGGUAAGUCUGAUGUGAAAUCUCCGAGCUUAACUCGGAAACUGCAUCGGAUACUAUUCGGCUCGAGGGUUGGAGGGGGGACUGGAAUGCUUGGUGUAGCAGUGAAAUGCGCAGAUAUCAGGAGGAACACCAAUGGCGAAGGCAGCUCGCUGGGACGGUACUGACGCUGAGACGCGAAAGCGUGGGGAGCAAACAGG